AUGAAAGAGUUGGGAUUGAGAGAGGAGGACUUGGACGAUGUGAUCUUCGACGAGCAAGCUGCGCCGCCGGAGGGACCGAGAUGGGUAGCCUUAGCUAGGGUUAACACCACGAAGAACUAUAGCCAGACUUGGUUUUACAAAAACAUGAGAGCGGCAUGGGAUAUCGCACAGGAGGCUAAGUUUAAACCUCUGGAGGAAAACCUGUAUACUAUCCAAUUCACUUGCCUUGGUGAUUGGGAGAGAGUUAUGAACGAUGGCCCAUGGAACUUUAGAGGGGACGCGGUGAUUCUUCUGCCGUAUGAUGGAAUCUCAAAGCCUUCCACUGUCAAGCUUGAGACAAUCAAGAAAUGGAUUCAAAUCCAUGAUGUACCAGACCUGUAUGCUCAUCUGGUGGCUCCGCUGGCAGCAAAAGUGGGAGAAGUUGUAUUCUCAGAACCGAACUCACAUGACUUUGUUGGCAAUUUUCAUCGAGUUUGGGUCAGCAUCAAUGUCCAUAAACCUCUAAAGAAUGCGAUAUCUAUGAUUAGAGAUGGGAAGAGACAGAUAUACAGAGUUAAGUAUGAAAAGCUCCCGGACUGGUGCGCGGUUUGUGGCAUGCUAGGUCACCUAUAUAAGGAACACGGAAAUGCUAUCCAUCCUCCAUCAUCACUUGUGUUCAAAGAUCUCCGAGCCAGCUGGCUAUGCGUUCGGGUCGUGGCCCGGGCAAAGGCCGCAGCCAGAGGGGUGGACGUAGAGGAGGCCGGUCAGGGGGCGUUCAAGCGGCCGCUCAGAGGGAAGCUGAGGCGACAUGACAGAAGAAUAUGCUCAUAG
rnacentral:rRNA from 1 species